rnacentral:sRNA from 1 species
AUUUGCUUAAUGCUCUAACCGUGGCAAGCUUGGCUGGAAGGCAGGCUACACAUAGCAGGGAAGAGGGUAGACUCCAUGAGGAGAUGGGGCAGGAUCCAGGGUGUGGUAGCCGACUUAGAGCACACUUCCCUUGAAAAUAUGGGACAAAUAUUUAAUAACGAACAUUGGUCGGAGCCACAAGUGAGUAAAGAGCUAGAUGUUUCCAGGCGGUCGCGGGUCUCAGCGUUUGGGUAAUGGCAGCCCUCUGCUUCCAGAGCGUCUGUCCAAUUCGCAGCACAACUUCACAGGGCAGAGGGAUCAAAGUCCGAGAGUUGACAAGCCAGUAAAACUUAAGAAAGGCACCCGCGUCUCAGCCAACUGGGCUGGGAUCCACCACUAGGAUUUAGUUCUUGCAAGAGAGUCAGACUCCAACUCCGGGACAGAAGCAGAGAUGCUCUCUAUAAAGCCGUGGAGGGGAAAAACAGGCUCAGCCCUUGGAAACAUGAGCCUGGCUUCAACUCGACUCUUGGUCGCCGCCGUAUACCUGACUUGGUGAAGAAGAAAGGAAAGCAAACAUCUCCCAGCAGAAUGAUCGAGCGCAAAGCGUUCAAAACUUGCAAUUCUGACAGACAGUCCUCGAGGGAAGGUGGGGUUCAUGGUUUUUGAGGGGUUUUUGCCCAUCGUGAUAUGGGAAGGACAGAAGAGAAGUUCAGGUCAGGGUGGUCAAAGCUGCUGAUACUGCCACAGACCAGUGUGCAGAGUGGUCAGGACCCUGAGCUGGGGGAAUGGUCAAAGGCACACUCCUAGAGACCAACUUGUGCUCGCUGAUCCCUGCCUCUUGAAAGUUCCACAGCCUCUCAGAAUAGUGCCCCCUGCUGGGAAGGAAGAAUUCAAGACGUGAACCUGGCGGGUGGGGCUUGGGGGGUGGAUUUCAGAUUGAAACUAGAACAGAAGGCCCAGAAAAGGGAGGUCGGUGAGAGUCUGUAUUCUUAAUUCAGGACGGCUUACAAAUAUGACUAGUUAAUUUAUAAGAUGUAAACUAAUACUUAAAAAAAAAAGAAUUUAGCAAACCAGACAGGGAAUUUCAGGACGGCAGUGACCUUUGUGCUUGCUGAGGCAUCGUAGGCGACAGUCUGCUGGAGUCCGGGAAGCCAUCUGCAGCUAGAGGGACCCUGCAGCUAGGGGGACAAUGAGCUGUCUGUCUCCUCCUCUACCUCCAGCUCUCCCUUGAGGGUUUGCGUUGGCAGAAUCUAAGCAGGAAUUUCUGGGAAAUUUAGUUUCCAGAUGUUACAGCCCCUGUGAGUCAGGACACAGAAGGGGAAAGAGCUACCAUGGCCACGGGGCCCAAGUGAAAGACAUCAAUUAUUUUAGGGUGAUGUCAGAGAAAGUGGGUCGCAGUGGAAAUGGAGCUCGGCGAGGCCGAGUCUGGGUGGAAGGACUGUGGGGAAGCAACACCCCUGCAGACAGGAACUGUGAGACACGCUAGGCAGAGUGACAAGGAGGUUGAAAUGCCACAACCUUCGAGAGUGACAGAUGCUCUUUGUUUUAAAGAGCUCAGUAGCGUGUAUAUAGAAAAUAAAGGCACCGUGGAUGGGACAAGGGGACUGUAAGAACCUGUCCCCCACUCUUGCUGAUAGUUUGAAAGCAUUCUGUGAAAUAAAUAUUCUUCUUCCAGACUAGGCAAAAAUGAAAACGGUUAGCAUUUGGACCUCGGUGUUGGAACUGGAGGUUAGAAGGUAGAAAUGUGGGAGGGAGUUAGACCAGAAGUUGACGGAACUUGGCAAGGUGAGUAGCAGGAGGAAGGCAGGAGCAACCAGGACUCCACAGUCUGUGGGGUGCGUAGCAUUGUGAACGGGCACCAUGAAUUGAGACAUGGCCAUAAAAAAAGUCGGAGCAGUUCCCUUUGGGAUGUGUUCUGUGUUAGGAUGUGAAACUACAGACAUCAAUAAUCAAGACAGAGGUGGUGGUGUGUCGUGUCCCCCCCACCCGCUUCCUGCUGAACAUACAUGACACCUUUGCAUACAAAGGGAAGUAUAACUCUCUACGUGUGAGUUUGGCCACAGUCACAGAAAAGAACUGAUUGAUAUCUAUCAAAGAUAUUUCCCCAUCUUAUUCCCCGAUGGAGCUUGAUGCUUGAAAUCCAACACGUGGUACUUCAAACUCCUGGCUUUAAGUUAAGGCACCUUAAAGGUUUGUGCUGCCCAUCUACCUGUGGUGUGGCGUGCUGAGACUUGCUUUGUCACACGUACCCUGAAAACAAUCAGUGCAUAUACACACACUAGUGCUGCUAUAUGGCCAGAGCUCGCAGCAUGGCCUAUUACAUGAUUUUUCCAGAAAGAUGAUAACAGGCAUCACACCAGACAGGGCAUCAGUGUCAGGUCACAGAAAUUACUCUACUAAAUUCCAGCUUGAGGAACCAAGGAAUCUUUUGGGGUUAUAUACAGCAACGUAGCAAGGGGCUCCUUGAAAGAACCUGAGUGGCUUAAAAGCAGCUGUACCCCCCAAAAUGACCCACCAGAGCUUCGUCCCCGGGACUCCCCACCUAUCUCAAAGGUAACCCCUUAGAGAGUCUCGUCUUGAGCAACAAUUAAUUAUUGCUUAUAUAACCCAGAGUGGGGCCUGUCCUGUUAACUUCUGCUGUCAACCUGACAGCCCAGAGUCAUCUCAGAGAGGCUCCAUUGGGGAAUCAGAUCGAUCAAAUUGUCCUGUGGCCAUGUCUAUGAGGAAGUCUUUUAGUUGUGGAUUAUUGUCAGAGGGCACAGUCCCCUGUGGGUGGUGCCAUUCCUUAGCAGAUGGUUCUGGGCUAUCUAACAAAGCUGGCUGAGCAUGAGGGAGAGAGAGAGAGUAAACCAGCAUGCAGUGUUCCUCCAUGCAACUCUGCUCCAGAUUCCUGCCUCUCGAGAGGUCCUGCACCGGCUUCCCUCCGAGAUGAACUUCUACCUGGGAGUGUCUAUUGGAACAAACACUUCCCUCCCCAAGUUGUUUUUGGUCAUGGUGUUUAACAGAAUGACAUAAAGGAAGCUAGAGGAAGGCAUAUUCCUACUAAGUCUUGUAAGCUUCCUGGGCCUGCUAAAUUUUAUGGGUUUGUGAGUUUUGCUAGCUCCUUGUGUCUUAUGAGCUCCUGUCCUCUCUUAACUCUCCAGGAGGACAUGUUUCAGUUCGGGGGCAAUAGCUACACAGUAGUGCCCAUGAUGAGCCAGAGCUAGAAGAAUCACUGGCCCCUACAUAAAGCCCUGAUUGUCAGAGAGACAGGAGGUCUUCAUGAGUCUGGGGAAACUUGCUGUGACUUACUUUGUCCUCUGUCUUCAUAGGCUCCCUGCCUGCUCUAUCUAUUUUUUCUUCUAUUUCUUUAACAACUUGAUUGUUGAAACCCCAGGAAAUUCUAAGCCCAUUUCUCCCAUCAAAAUGAAAGGAACUUAUUGAUGAAAUCAUGAGUCCAUUAAGAUUGAGUGGUACAUCUCCAUUAGGGCCACGAUUUGCAUCAUAAAACAGAUUAACAUGAAAGGUGGAAGCACUCUUCUUGGAGAGGAAAUGCACAAAAGAAUCUUUUAGGGCCUUCCGAAUUAAAGCAGAAUAAACACUCCACCAGGCACAGAGAGAAGGCAAGGGACAGGGGGGAAGGUUUCGACAGAGCCAAGCAAGACUGAAGACCUGCAGCCACAUAAGUGGUGUGACUCAUAGCUUAGUUGUGGGUAGACAGCAGAAGCCAGGGAACAUUCGGAGCUGAAAGAAACACUCGUAUUAAACAUUCUGCUGGAGCAAGGGUUCCCACUGCAGUGUGCUUACAGAGCCCUGCUCUGAAGUAUGCCUGGGCCGGCCGUUCUCGCUACUUUAAUGGAGUUGCUGAGAACCACCCUCUUGCCCGGCUAAGAGCCUGUGGUUCUGAGUGGAUGAGAGUGCUGUUCUCCUCAACCUUCCUCAGAAUGUUGAGAGGACAGUUCUGUGACAAGAGCUUUGCCAUGUGGCCUCCCCAGGAAUCUAGAUUGUUCCGGAUGAUCAAAGGAUAAUGAAAUAAACCCUACAUUAAUAGAGCACAGGGUUCUGGGAGUGUGUUGGGGGGCGGGGAUGACGUCUUCUCUUGCCUAUCAAGCUGGUGCUGUUUGUGUGUGUAUCACUUGCUUAGCAGCAUCAAGACCUUUAGCUAAAAGGAGAGGCUGGCUUAAAGGAUUGGAGCACCCGGGGGAUUCGCUGUUUGAUGGAAACAGGUCAGAGAAAGGAGCAAGAGAAUGAUCGGCCGUCUUACUCUUCUGGUGGGGUCUCUUUGCUCAUGUGUGAGAGGCAGUUCAUGCCAGCUCACAGACAUCAAGCAGAAUUUCUUCCUAAUUCCCCCACUCAGUGACUUCAUAGGAGGUUGGCACUGGCUAGGAUAGGAAUGUUUACAUUGCCAGAAUUGGCAGAUGUCACAAACCAGGGUGUUUUUUUCUCCCCUACUGUGGUUGCCUUGUUUUCUCCCCUAGAAAAUUUAUCGUUAAAUAUUUAUCAGCAUUCUCCUGGAAUUUGAUUGAAAGAUAAUUUGGCCAUCAAAGCAGCCACACGGCCUUCUGAAACUCUGGCUGAAAGCUUUCUGAGCACAGCAAGGGUCAAACAAGUGACCGGGCGGAGCUCGGCGGAAUUUGGAAAAAGGGAAAGGAUUCUUGGAAUACACGCCUGUGUGACAUACUCACCCAUGAACACUCACCUGAGGGUCAGUGCUCACAGGGUGACAUGGUAGGCACCUCUCGAAAGUUGUAAAGGGACCUUUAGGAAUGUGGCCACGAGAUGGACACUACUUAGACAUGAUGUGGGCCUCUUUCUCAUUGGACCAGGGACUUCAGAUAAAGGAUAAGACCCAGGAGGCUGGGCCUCAGAAGGACCAAUUUACAGGGCAUUUUGAUAGUGAACCAAUUAACCUCUUCUACCUAUAGGGCUCAGACAAAAGAUAGUUGGGCUCAGGAUGCAUUCUGGGAGCACUGCCGCGUGUGGGUGGUAAUGAUGUGUCAGAAGUUCUUUUUCAGAUGGGCUAAGUAGACUCCAGUCCUAUAUGGAAUGUCCGAGGCUGUGUCAGAGAAACACAAAGGUCUCUUCUGCCUCCCUUCCUGGGUUCUAGGAUUCUUCUGAAAAGAACCCUAAUGCUAACUAGAAGGUAGAAGAGUGGAAGCCCAGACACAGAUUAAGGAGUACACAUAGGUUCGGCCACAAUGGAGAUCAGGGAGGGAGGAUCUUCAACAAACUAAGAAAGAACCAGUGUAUGGCCCACUACAGCGUGUCCAGGUUAUUUACCUGAGGGACCGUAAGCCAACCUAUCACCCUGUGAACACUGCUGUGAGUUCACAAUUAUGGCUGAGUUAUGUACGGAAGCAAGAGAAGCGUCCGUCAACAAAUGACAGGGUUAAAUGGAGUGUGUGUGUAUAACGAAACUUUAGUCAGCUCUAAGGAAGAGCAGAAUCAUGCUGUUUGUUGAAGAACGGGUGUGACAGAAACUAACUAUAUGAAAUAAGUCAGCAAGAUAAGUGUCACACAUUUUUAGUCCUUUUGCACAUCCUUGGGUACACACACACACACAACACACCCUCACACACACUAAGGAAAAAAAAACUGGCUUCGAAGGACAAAAGGAGGCUACGAAAGGAAACAUAUUUGUUCGACUUUGAGGAAGAAGCCGAUUUGUCUGAAGGAGUCUGGGGACAGCCCUGCCUUUGUCUGAUAAGCCCUCUCUGCAAGUCCCUGUAAGCCAUAUGUGUUUAAGAUGUAGAGGAUCAGCUCAGGGGAUCAGCGCACAGCCCUGGAAGCGUUAGCAUGCGCUUCCUACUUUAAGCAGCUGUCUGGCAAAAUGGUCUGUCACUGUCAUAGGGCAGCCGAGCAUGAGAGUGCUUUGACAGUGCGAGUCUGUCUCAAUCCUUCCACCCAAACUCAAAGGAACGUCUUCCCAAAGGCCGAGGGCAGCCAUUCUUUGCAGCGGGAGUAAGCUCGGCUGAUGGCUUAAUCUGGAAGCCAAUUGGCUUUCAAGGAGACAUAACUCACUCCAUAUUUAGAGAAACGUUUGGAGUCUAUUGGGACUGCUUCGGGAGGGGAUUUGAAAACUUUGAAAAGGAACCUGAUAUGAACACUGACCGACUGGAAGACCUUCUGUCUUUCACAAGUGGGCACGUACCUGGCAGCCCUUGCUGGCUUGGCUUCAACUCCUAGAUCCCGGAUCAUGGAAGCCCUGGAGGGUCUGGCAGUUGGUUCCGGAGUCAACAAGAAGCAGGCAGCCACCACCAACCUAGAAGUAUUAUCAUGGUUUAACAGCAAUCCAAGCAAUGUCUCUGCUCCUGAAAUGGAACCUGGGCCUUGUUGGACGACGUGGGACAAAGGAGAGAGGCAGGUCCACUGUGGGGUCUGUCUGUGUUUAUAUGGUUGGCAGAGCGCGCUUUGAUGUCACCCUGAUGACGUCUGUCAUCUUCCCCACACCUGCUAUGGCAUGGCUGCCUUCAGUCACAAGCCUGAUUCACAGCACACUCUAUGUUUAGCAGCGCUCUGAGAAGGAUUCCAGUCUGCCUUCAGCCCUAAAUAGCUACAAAUAUCAGAGUAGCAGCGGCAGCCCUUCAAAGGCCUUUUUGGGAAGUGUCAUGCCAGAGAUGGGGUGACACAGAGGAGCCCCAGAAAGAAGCAAGAUGUCACCUGGAAACUGGAGGGAAAAAGAAGAAAUGAACCAGCGUCGACUGCUAAGAAGGUGAAGAAAUGAACCAGCGUCGACUGCUAAGAAGGUGAAGAAAUGAACCAGCGUCGACUGCUAAGAAGGUGAUAAAGUUGACCAUCUGUUCCUCAGUUACUUAUAGCACGGUCAUCGUCUGGAAAGUUGGAGACAAUGACUAGAAGACAAUGAAGGGACGAAAUACAAGGUGUCUGGUGCAGACUGAUAUGGCCAGGCACGUAAUUAAUGCCUCUUUAAAAGUGAACAAAAGCAGAGCAAGAAGUAAAAAACAAAGCGAUUACGCAUCAGCUGCUGAAACACUGUGUCCUAGCUUAAACGAGGCUGGAAAAAUGCUUCCACAGAGAACAGGAUGCUUGAGGACUCUAGCCUUUUCCCGGAGGGGCUGUAAUGGCUCCAGCCUCGCAGACGGGCUGCGCAGCGGCGCCAGCGAGCUCUGCUGCCCCCUGCUGGACGGAACGCGGGACUCGCGCCAGCCAGUCUGCGAGGCUCCCGCUGGCUCCCUGGGGACCCAGCACUCCUCCAGCAGGUUAUGCAACACCAGCUCACUUCAGGAAAGGAAACCAUCGACUUCAUGGAGCUUCCAAUGAGCCAGUGUUAAGAGUAAGGCGGAGACUAGAAAAUAGCACGCAUGUGUCCAGCCUUGGAGGCGCGUGUGUAAGGGGAGUGGACUAACUGAAAGGAAGCAGUGUAAAGAUUAGCCGCAGGGUAUGGUCUUCUAGUGACGCCGCACCUCAUGACCAGCUACUGACAUGGUGGGCGGCAGUGCUUCAUUUCCGGAGUGCAGCCCCAUCUUCUAGCUCCUUCAAGGUUAUAGAUCUUCUAGCUGUGUGACCUUCAAGGUUUUAAACUCUGACUGUUGGUGAACCAUAUCCAGUGGGUUGGUCUUUCCUAACAAGACACACAGUGAAGGCUUUAUAGAGAGGCAUAUUAAGGUGGAGCAGGGCUAUUCCCUCCUUUUACUGUUCAGAAAUAAUAAACAUUUUGAUAUUUCCAGUAUUCGUCCGGAUCACCAUAUCUUUAGAGGAAUUUUUCUUCUAUUUGGACCGACCCUUUGGAGUUUUACCUUUUGGGGUUUUACUGAUGUGAAGGAGGGGUCGUGGUGGUGGUGGCCGUUCACUCUUGUCCAAUCUGGAUGUGGAUUAAUGGUGUUUUCCAGCCCAUAAAAUAUUUUAAAAUUUUUAUUUCACACGGGGUUAUGAAGCAUCGCUGCCUUUACGACAGCUCGACUGGAACUUUCAAAAUUAAAAAUGACAGGAACUGAAAGUUGUCAUAGAGAUUCCAAGGCACUACCAUUCUCUUAUUCUGUAGACGAUGUUCUGCGCUUUUCAACCAAGUAAGAAUAGAUCUCUGGAGAUGAGAAGAUGACCACCACGUGUCUUUUCCCAGUCUUUGGAUGGUACCUUUCACAUCCUGGAAGGGAGAAAGCUGAGUCACCACCACAGAGUCUGAACCUGAUUAUCAUAUUCAGUAGCCACUGCCAAGCAUACAUUAGCACCUCUCCCAGAACUACUCUCUGUCUGCACAGGGCACCUGGACACUCUGCUCAUGAGAAUGCAAUACCCAACAUGAGUCAAGAAAGCCCAAAGACGUCCACCCUGAUCUGGUGAUAGAUGACACCUGACCUCCUUAGCCAAUAUGCAGACUGAGACUGUAUCUGGCAGAGUUUCUGGCUGCAGAACCCUUGACCGUCAGAAGUGAAUGAAAGUUUGGUAAGCUGUGCUGGAGCACUGCCAGUGUGCGGUGCUGUGAGCCGCCCUCACAGGAUUUCAGGGAAGAACUGUGGGGAGGAGGCACUGAAUGCCUUAGAUGCAGCGGGGAGAAAACCCUUCCUCCUACACCCUUAAAACAGAGCGAAAGGAAACAAAAUAAUAAAACUAAUAACAAAAUAACAAAAUAAUACCCCCCCACAAGCUACACCCUUACUUUUCUGGUCUCACCUGCUGCUUUCCUUAGGAGAUAGUUUCAAUGGAAAAGAUUCUAAAGUUCAUGUGUUCGAAAGCUUCUUGACCUUGCAGUUGGCGAUGAUCUUUGGGGGGUUAUGGAACUGUGGCUGGGGUCACUGGGAGCCAGGUCUUUGGGGUCACAGCUCUGCCCUAUUUUUGGACCCAGUCUCUCUGUGUGUCAUCUGUCAAGAAGUGAGCAAGCUCUCCUACACUCCUUCUGCUCUGGUUCACCUCCACCAAUACCCGUACUCUCAACCCAGGGGUGAAAAUUCCUUUCUCCUUCAGUGUGCUUCUUCCUGGGCAUUUGGUAGCAGCAAUUUCAAAAGCUAAGCUACCUUACUAGUAUGAGCUUCAGUGGUUUACACCAGGUAGGUCGAGGGAAAGGUAAAACUUGGGAUUUGCUCAAAACAUGGCCACACACACACACACACCUGAUGCUCGACACACACAGCCAGGCACACCUGAUGCCAGAAAGGGUGAGGUGGGGAUGUCAGAAAGUCCUGGGAGGAACCCAGGCUGUGUUCUAGGCACAUAUCUAUAGCUCAUAGUUUGUGUGUUCUUGGAAGACACAGAAGUAUUAUAAACUCGUAAAUAGAAUUGCAUAAGACUGUACUCAUGACAUAAAUGAUUCCUCACACGAGCGAACCAAGAAAGCCCAAAGAUGUCUACCCUGAACUGCAGAUAAAACAUCAUCAGACCUCCUUAGUUAGACGCCGCUGACACACAUUCGGAGAUCUUAUCCGGCAGAGUUUCCAGGCGUACGGAAGGUGGAUUGAGUUCAGGAUGAAUGAACUAUUGAACAGUGGAGCUCAGGGAGUGGGCGAUGGAUUAGUGGACAAAAAUAGCCCUGGACACCUGUGUAAAUCCUUGGUGAUCUGAUCUACGCCAUAAAAACCAGACAGUGGGCAUCUGUAACUCAUAAUAAGUCCUUUCUAACAUCACUGAGGUUAUCUUAAAGAGCCUCUUGGUGCUCCCCUCCCCCAUAGCUUUAGAGUGGGGCCAGGCUGCUAACUGCGCCAACGCUGCAUUUGGAGGGCUGUGACUUGCAGCCUGACCUCCUGGAACUGAGUGGAGCAGCAAUCAACAAUGACUUUGUAAGCUGAUCCCUGCUACAGACCGUACAAAAUCCUCAACGGGGAGAGCUGCUUACCUACAGAGGUCACAGGAGCUCUGUGCUCACCACCCCUAAUGCCCGUGUUCCUUGAAGUUGGCUGUUCCUGAGUUGUAUCUUUUGAAGUGAACUGACAUUGAUUCCUUUGGAAACUUGGAUGGCAUCGUUUAAUCUGUGGAGUGGGAAAAAGGAGACGAAGGAAGGAAGAGGAGAGGAGACCAUAAACCUCGCUGAGAGCUCACUGGAUCCGGGAAGUUGCUAAUAAAAACCCAGGCGGGGAUGGCACCUGCAGACAACUCACUCUACCUAGCCGUCAGAGCUGGCCUGGAAGAACAAAGGCUUUCUGGGGAGCUGCAAAUCACACAUUGAUCUUGCCCGAGAGUAUCUUUCCUUAGCGAUGAGAAGCUGGAAUAAAACGAAGUGGAAUGAAAAGCGGCAAGCAGAGGCCCUGAAGACUCCCACAGAAAUCCUGGUUCUGCAGAUUUACCUGUGCCGUGGGACCCACCUGUGUGGGACGAGGCACUUCUUGUUGAGCGUUCUGCUGCUCCAGAGUGCUUCAGCAUUACGUGUGGAAAGCAGAGACUUGAGGAAAAAUCAGUCAAACGAGAGCAUUGCAUAACUCGGACCACUGGAAAAUCCAUUCCCCCUUUAGGCAUCCCAAUGAGGGCAGUAACAACUAAGCAUGUUCCGGCUGUCGUGCUUACUCUAAUGCUGGCACUGGGGAGGAGAGGAGGCAAGUGCAUCCUAGGAGUUUGCUAGCAAGUGAGCCAGCUUCACCCCCUCACGCCACUCCCGGUUGCUAGAAUAGGAGGGCCUCUCCCAGAAUACUCCACACAACAGAUGGUUGAUCUACACCAGGAAACACCCAAAGAAGAAGACCAAGGCCACCACAGGCGGCAACUUGCCUACUCACCAGGGUCCAAGGAAGACCUCCAUCCCAUGGUGGGUAGAGUCCACAUGUGGGUCUCUGGGCUCUCUUCUCUGGUCUUCCUGUCCUCGUUGCUUUACUAAGGGAGACCUGUGAGCAACAGUGUUUUAACGCACGUUAUAGACGACACCGGAGUGUGGCUCUCACCAAAGCGUGUGCCUGACGUGAAGUGUGCCAGACUCCACGAGAAGUGUGUCUGGGCCAACUGACAGCAGUGGCUCUGGCUUUGACACGGCUCUCAGCACUCCCAUUCUGUUCCGAGAGGCCAGGAAGCAGAUGGAGAGAGAAUAAGCAAUGCAGUGGGAUGUCUACAUCUUGGCAGUCAGUUCACGGCGAGCUAUGUUUCUCAAGCUAUUAAGAUACAUGAUGCUACCUGUACAUUUAAUCUCUAAUCAAGUAUGUAAUUUUUUUAUUGCCUAGGGUAUGUCUAUGCAGUUGAAAGCAAAAACCUGUGUUCUAUCUUUAAAGAAAAAAUAAAACAACAACAAUAACAACCACAACACCCCUGUAAAAUCAAGAGAGAGGGAGCAAGAAGUUGGGUGGGUGGUGAGGUGGGGGAGAAUCGGGGAACAAUGGAGGAGGAAAACAAUAUAAUCAAAACAUACUGUAUGGAAAUUAAAUGUCCACCCUGCUCCUUGUGAAGUUUGCUUCCUUCACAGUGAUGUGAAGGGAACAGUGAUAUGCUUCCCCAAGGGGCACGAAGGAGAGGUGCUCUGAGAAAGUGACAUAAACAGGGAAGAUUUUUCUUCUUUGUAGAGAAGGGCGUUAGAGUACAGCAUUGUGAGAUUGCUCAGUGUGUGCACAGAGUACAGCAUUGUGAGGUUACUCAGUGUGUGCACAGAGUACUGCAUCAUCAGAUUACUCAGUGUGUGCACAGAGUACUGCAUUGUGAGAUUACUCAGUGUGUGCACAGAGUACUGCAUUGUGAGAUUACUCAGUGUGUGCACAGAGUACAGCAUUGUGAGAUUACUCAGUGUGUGCACAGAGUACAGCAUUGUGAGAUUACUCAGUGUGAGCACAGAGUACUGCAUUGUGAGAUUACUCAGUGUGAGCACAGAGUACUGCAUCAUCAGAUUACUCAGUGUGAGCACAGAGUACUGCAUCAUCAGAUUACUCAGUGUGUGCACAGAGUACUGCAUUGUGAGAUUACUCAGUGUGUGCACAGAGUACUGCAUUGUGAGAUUACUCAGUGUGUGCACAGAGUACUGCAUCAUCAGAUUACUCAGUGUGUGCACAGAGUACUGCAUCAUCAGAUUACUCAGUGUGAGCACAGAGUACUGCACUGUGAGAUUACUCAGUGUGUGCACAGAGUACUGCAUUGUGAGAUUACUCAGUGUGAGCACAGAGUACUGCAUUGUGAGAUUACUCAGUGUGUGCACAGAGUACAGCAUUGUGAGAUUGCUCAGUGUGUGCACAGAGUACUGCACUGUCAGAUUGUUCAGUGUGUGUCAAACCAGCUUUAGCAGCACUGAGAGAGAACUGACUUCAUUAACACUGGAGAUCUUGGAGACAGAUCAAGUACUCCUAUGCAGGGCAACACAAGGCACUGCAUUGAAGGAAGUCUUCCAAGAGCAGAGAAAUUCUCUCCUGGACACUACUUCCACAGAAUUUUCAGAUAGUUCCAUUUAACUUCCAAGUUCGUUGAUCAACUGUCAUGGGGAGAAGGGAUAGACGUCACGGAGCAUUGUGUCAUUAACAUUCGUUGCUGAAGAAGACUGGGAAGCAAUUCUAAAUUUGCAGCAGCCACGAGGUCCAUGGGCAGAGGUGGACAGAAGUGAGGACUGUCCAAAUGGUGGACUGCUUUGAGCAAGUGAAUGAGUCGUUGCAACUCCACAACUGGGUACGAUAAAAACGCUUCCAUAAACAAUGUAAAAUCAACUGGGUAAGGCGUAAUCCCAUUUAUUUACAGUUCAAAAAUAAACAAAGCGAGUCGCUGACAUCUGAAGUGAGAAGAGAUACCCGCCAUGGGCGAGCUUAGUGAAGAUUCAGCUUCAGGCGUUAGGGAUGGUUUCGUCCCUGAUGGGUUGUUGGUUACGAGCACAUGUUUGUUCUCCACGAGCAUACAUUUUAUUUCUGAGUCGUGUAUAUUUUUUUCUUCAUCCUGAAUCAGCAAAACAGUUACAAGCAAGCAAUGUCAACAUAGUUUCUUUUGCAUGUAUUAAAGUUUGGACCGUUCAGUCAAUCGUUUAAAGGACUAGGUAUGUGGGAGGAAGUGGCCCACAAAGGCUGAAGAGUUAAGUAUUUAAAGACUCAGAAUUACUUGAGAUAGUGAAAAAACGUUAGAGAGAAAAAUUUGAGCUUGGCUUCGUAGUCUAAAUUUCUUUGUCAGUAAAAACCUUCAUUUGUGGUAAAAUUUGGGCAGGGGAGUAAUGGUAUUUGAUAAGGGGUGGGGAAGAAUGUGAACUCAAAAUUAUAACCCAUUUUCUUUCUUUUUAACAUUUUCAGGUCAACACCAAACGUUUAGGUUCUGUGUGAUCAAAAUAGAAGGUCUUCACGUAUAUGGACCUGUCCUCCGCUAAGAUGUAAUUAUCAGUUGAUCAGGUUGAAAGACGGCUGAGUAGAUCCGGCACUAACAACAGAAUCAUCACACCAUGGAGAAACAAAUGUUCUAACAAUGUUCAUAACUCUACACGAUCCUUUCCUUUUUCACCACAAUCUAUGCUUCCCCAUCUGGCAGACAAGUAUGGAUCCCUUUCAACAUGGGGGAUCUCAUUGCUUGCGCUGGAGGAAGAUUUUUGAGCUCCUGAGGAUGGAGAUUUGAGAUCCCAGGGAAGAAAGCUGUUUAAUAAAGAACACAUGGUGACCGGUCAGUCUCUUUAUUUCCUAAAAAAAGUCCCUAAAUAUAUUACAGAAGCAUAAUUGUCUGAAAUGCAUCUGCAGAUUGAGGUUGGAACAUAUUUGGUCUCAAAACCCAUACUAUAGUAUACUGGACCAAGAUGUGUGCUGGUUCAGUGGUCGCAUUUCUACUCUAAGUAUUGCUGUGGGCUUCAGGCUGCGAUCUCAAAUGACACAAACAGGGAGGGGCGUCGGCUGACCUCCAACUUGUCUUGGUAACGUUGAAUUCCUGACGGUAUUAGAACCGUGUUCUGAUGGAGGAAAGAGCGAUGAAGAACUGCUAUGUCCAAACAUCUCCCAACCGAACGUAGUCCCGUAGUUUGUCCGGCCCAAAGCAAAAUGAAAACACGAUGCUCCUGGUUUAAAAAUAUGAGAAUUUCAAGACGGUAACAUUUGAACAUUAACCCAAGUGGGAGGUCUUUCUCAGUGUGAGACCCUGUACUGCCACACAAGUUGUAUUAUAGCGGAGCUCCCCGCUUCCAAAUCUAAAGCAAACAAUCAGGCUGGCCCACACAAGACUUGGUGUGGCCUUGUGCAGCAAAGCACUGGGAGACAAAACCCAGAGGUGAGGGCAAAUCCUGAAAGUGUAGAUGGAGACUUUGCUCUGGUGCUGCAAGCCUAGCGUAUACGUACUUAGGAAACAAAUGCUAAGUGGUAUUGGAAAUUACGGCUGCAAGAUAUUAAUGCAAGUAGGAAGAAUGGUCUUGCUAAUGCAUUUAUCUGUCUCUGCAGGUAAUUGGCUGGCACUGUCUAAAAUCGCAUUGUGCAUUUAAUCAGAGAUAAUGACUCCCUACUCGCAAUGUUUUAUUCAGCAGCUUUCCUUAAUUUUAGAGGGGCCUUUGGUUGGAAAACACCUCAUGGAAGGAAGAAACAUUUACAUGAAGGUUAGGUGAUCUCACAGGUUCCACUCCUGUUUAUUAUUUUUCAUUGAAUUCAGACAAAUUAUAUUUAAUACUUUAUAUUGAAAAUCACAGGAUUCUGUUUCCAUGAAAACCAGUGUUGUUGGUUAUGCCGCGGGUAAUAGCAUUUCAGAAUGUGAGUCUGCUUCUUGCAUAUGUACGUGUGUAGAGGGCCGCAAUAACAUUCGCCACCGCUAGAUGGCACUGGCUUCCACUGCGCCCCACA